GUGCCUGUAGUUCAGUUGGUUAGAGCGUCAGAUUGUGGUUCUGAAUGUCGUGGGUUCGAGUCCCACCCGGCACC
rnacentral:tRNA from 2 species